rnacentral:rRNA from 1 species
AUCCUCCAAGGCUAAAUACUCCUGACUGACCGAUAGUGAACCAGUACCGUGAGGGAAAGGCGAAAAGAACCCCGGCGAGGGGAGUGAAAAAGAACCUGAAACCGUGUACGUACAAGCAGUGGGAGCCCCACCACUAAGCCAGUGGUGAACUCCACAUACGCAUCCUUUGCUGAGGAUACGGUUAACGGAGCGAAAGCGACGUUCAACCUCAAAAGAAGCAGAGGGGGCUUAGUGGUGGGGUGACUGCGUACCUUUUGUAUAAUGGGUCAGCGACUUAUAUUCUGUAGCAAGGUUAACCGUAUAGGGGAGCCGGAGGGAAACCGAGUCUUAAUUGGGCGUUAAGUUGCAGGGUAUAGACCCGAAACCCGGUGAUCUAGCCAUGGGCAGGUUGAAGGUUGGGUAACACUAACUGGAGGACCGAACCGACUAAUGUUGAAAAAUUAGCGGAUGACCUGUGGCUGGGGGUGAAAGGCCAAUCAAACCGGGAGAUAGCUGGUUCUCCCCGAAAGCUAUUUAGGUAGCGCCUCGUGAAUUCAUCUCCGGGGGUAGAGCACUGUUUCGGCUAGGGGGCCAUCCCGGCUUACCAACCCGAUGCAAACUGCGAAUACCGGAGAAUGUUAUCACGGGAGACACACGGCGGGUGCUAACGUCCGUCGUGAAGAGGGAAACAACCCAGACCGCCAGCUAAGGUCCCAAAGUCAUGGUUAAGUGGGAAACGAUGUGGGAAGGCCCAGACAGCCAGGAUGUUGGCUUAGAAGCAGCCAUCAUUUAAAGAAAGCGUAAUAGCUCACUGGUCGAGUCGGCCUGCGCGGAAGAUGUAACGGGGCUAAACCAUGCACCGAAGCUGCGGCAGCGA